CGGCUUCCGGGAGUUAGUGAAGGUGGCUUCUCUCCGGGAGGGAAGUGUCGGAGGACUACGGACGGAAACCACGGCGUCCCGCUACUUCCGCCUGCAGAAAAACCGACAUCAUCCCCUAAGGCUUGCCCUGACAUCCCGUCAGCCAUUGGUCCUCAAUAUAGAGGAAAAUCGGAGGGCGAACCUCGAGACGGUGGCCAUCAGUCUUCUUUCUCCUGUGCAGGCCCUCCUCCUGGAAGUCUGGGCCUGGAGGGCUUCCGUAGAGUACAUGGGAAUCUAUCCUAGGGGAAACCUAGUAUGCUUAUGAAAACUAGACGCCUGCAUCCAAACUUAGAUCCGAUCCGAAGGCCGGUGUUCCAAACUUCACUGUGCACAGCUCAAACGAAAAUUUGGGACGAUCUUCCGACCUGCAGAUAAUCACUAUCCAACCAGAAAGAGGCAGUCCCUCAUGAAGCUAAGGAAUCUCUAAGAUGAAAGUAUGUUUUCUUGAUUCCUUCCUACUAGUCUUAAAUAGAAAAUUAACCUGUUUUGAAAACUUUUUGCCCAGGAUGAAAUCUCCAAGCCUUCUGAUCAAACCACAACAUACCAACUAAAGUUUUAAAAUUACCACCUUUUAGGUAGUUUGGAAAAAUUAUCCUUUCCUCUAGCGCAUGCUUGAAUACAAAUCAUCCAGCAAGAAUGGUAACUAAUCAGAUCAUUUAUCAAUAAAUCAUUUUCAGCCUUGUGA